rnacentral:rRNA from 1 species
UUCGGGACAAUUGCGCCUGGGCGAAACCUGACGCAGCGACGCCGCGUGGAGAUGAUGCUCCUCGGCCUGAAACUCCUGCUAGCGGGACGAAGGUCGCCCUCUACUAAAACUCGAAUCUGACGGUACCGCUAGAGAAAGCACCGGCUAACUCUCGUGCCAGCAGCCGCGGUAAUACGAGGGGUGCAAGCGUUAUUCGGAAUAACUGGGCGUAAAGGGUGUGUAGACGGCAUAUUAAGCUUGUUGUUAAAUCCUCCGGCCUAACUGGAGAUCUGCGGCGAGAACUGAUGUGCUUGAGGGUGGAAGAGAGAAGUGGAAUUCCCGGAGUAGCGGUAAAAUGCGUAGAGAUCGGGAGGAAGGCCGGUGGCGAAGGCGGCGCUCUGGAACGUUCCUGACGCUGAGGCUCGAAAGCGUGGGGAGCAAACAGGAUUAGAUCCCUGGUAGUCCACGCCCUAAACGAUGGACACUAAGUGUCGGCGGGUUACCGCCGGUGCCGCAGCUACGCAUUAAGUGUCCCGCUGGGGAGUACGGC